AUGGCGGGGAGCUCGCGGCGACCGCGUAGGCCCUGCCGCCCGGCAGGUGCGAAUCACCUGGAUGCCCCUGCCGCCGACCUGCGCGGGGCCCCACCGGCUCCGGGCGCGCAGCCCGGCUGUCAUACCCGCCGCCGCCACCAGAGGGCAGCGUCGCCCCGUGAGCGCUCCGGCCGCCGGCCGUGGCCCCCGCCCAUUGGCCCGGGCCGCCGUCUCCCCGGCAACCGCCCGGGCCGCCCCCUCCGCGCCCGCGGGCCCGCGGGUCCCCAGCUCGGGCCGAGCGCCGCCGCCUGGCCGAGGUCCCCCUUUCCUCACAUGCGCGUCCUUCCCACGUCCCGCCUGGAGGCCGCGGCGGAAAACGCGGAGGGAGCUGUGGGGCCGCGCAGGAGGGUCCCGCGGCGCUGCGACCCCCCCCCCGCCCAGUCCCCGUCCCCGCGCGGCCUCCCAGCGGGUCCCCUCACCCCGGACGGAGGGCGAGGGCGGCCGGGUGCACCUGCUGCGGCCGCGGUCCUGGGGGAGGUCCAGUGGGCGCCCCCCCCGCCGGACCCCCUCAGGUGUGAAGUCAUCAGGGACUCUGACCCCCCCGGACCCCAGCGUGACCCCCCAGGGGUCCCCGGGGCCUGCAGAACGCCCGGAGGGCACCUUCGCGUUGGCGGGCCGGCCCUGCAGGAGGGCAGAGGGUCGCGGAAGCCCCGCAGCGCACCUGCCGCUGCCUCUGGGGCCGGGCCUGGGUCCCAGCCUCGCACCCUGAGGAGGCCAGAUGGGCGGCAGGUGGGGGGACCAUCUGGGGGCCAGCCCUGCUCUGAGCAGGCCUCAGCCAGGAGCCAACCCCGCGAAGAUCCAGGGAAAGCCAUCCCAGCAGGGGAACAGCAGGUGUGGAGGCUCAGAGGCAGUGGAGGGCCGGGCAGCCAGGGACAGCUGGCAGGUGAGAGCGCGGCAUGUGGGGCGCGGGGCAGGUCAGGUACAGGGCUGCCGGGCAACCCAGCGGCAGCCAGACGCCGCACAGCCCCGCCGGCUGCCUCAGUCCCUUCCAGAUGGCCCAGCCUCUCACCGGCCUUCCGACGCCCUCCUGCUCCCGGGGCCCCCUCCCUGCCCCUGCUUCUGCCCCCUCGGAGCCUCCAGGCUUGGUUAGGGGCGUGCUCAGCCACCUGUGAGGCUCCCCAGCUUCUCCUUGGGGUGCCCCGAGCUCCCAGCACAGGGCCGGGUGCCCCGUGGGGUGAGCACCUGAGGGGUGGGCUGGCUGUAGACCUCAGAGGAGGGGGGCUGUGCUUCGCUGAACGUCACAGGCCACCUGCACGGCAACACGACAGUCCUGCUGGGGCGAGUCAGAUUCCCGGGCACUCCCUCCGGAGCACCCACCCACUCAUUCAUUCGUUCUCUCAUUCCUUCAUUCAUUCAGCAAACACUGCCUGGGAAGCUGAGCUGGCUCAGCAGUUAGCAGAGUCUCUCUGA
rnacentral:lncRNA from 1 species